rnacentral:misc_RNA from 1 species
UGUCGUGCUUGGUCCAGCCG